rnacentral:rRNA from 1 species
UACGUAGGGUGCGAGCGUUGUCCGGAAUUAUUGGGCGUAAAGAGCUUGUAGGCGGUUUGUCGCGUCUGCCGUGAAAGCCCAGGGCUUAACCCUGGGUCUGCGGUGGGUACGGGCAGACUAGAGUGUGGUAGGGGAGACUGGAAUUCCUGGUGUAGCGGUGAAAUGCGCAGAUAUCAGGAGGAACACCGGUGGCGAAGGCGGGUCUCUGGGCAGUAACUGACGCUGAGGAGCGAAAGCGUGGGGGAGCGAACAGG